AUUGAACGCUGGCGGCAUGCUUUACACAUGCAAGUCGAACGGUAACAGGCCGCAAGGUGCUGACGAGUGGCGAACGGGUGAGUAAUGCAUCGGAACGUGCCCAGUCGUGGGGGAUAACUACUCGAAAGAGUAGCUAAUACCGCAUACGAUCUAUGGAUGAAAGCGGGGGACCGUAAGGCCUCGCGCGACUGGAGCGGCCGAUGUCAGAUUAGGUAGUUGGUGGGGUAAAGGCUCACCAAGCCAACGAUCUGUAGCUGGUCUGAGAGGACGACCAGCCACGCUGGGACUGAGACACGGCCCAGACUCCUACGGGAGGCAGCAGUGGGGAAUUUUGGACAAUGGGCGCAAGCCUGAUCCAGCAAUGCCGCGUGCAGGAAGAAGGCCUUCGGGUUGUAAACUGCUUUUGUACGGAACGAAACGGCUCUGGUUAAUACCCGGGGCUAAUGACGGUACCGUAAGAAUAAGCACCGGCUAACUACGUG
rnacentral:rRNA from 1 species